rnacentral:rRNA from 1 species
GGAUUAGAUACCCUGGUAGUCCACGCCCUAAACGAUGAGUGUUAGACGCUGGAAAUUGAUUCAGUGUCGUAGCUAACGCGUUAAACACUCCGCCUGGGGAGUACGGUCGCAAGAUUAAAACUCAAAGGAAUUGACGGGGGCCCGCACAAGCGGUGGAGCAUGUGGUUUAAUUCGACUCAACGCGAAGAACCUUACCAGCCUUUGACAUGGGAAUUAAGACUCUUAGAGAUAGGAGUCGUCGGUUCGGCCGGAUUCCACACAGGUGCUGCAUGGCUGUCGUCAGCUCGUGCCG